AGUGAGCAGGAUGGCUGGGACGAGCAAGCAGCCUUUCCCUGGAACAACUGGCACUCAACGUGGUCAACUGAAUCAAUAAAAUAUAUGAACUACAAAAGCGUGGAAACAGAAUCCUGGAAUAACUCAACAGGUCCCUGUCUUAUUUAAGAAAUACUGGAAAUCCCUGAAUAUCUUCACAUCAGCUCACUGCUUCUCUAGCAACUAGCUUGUACGAAAAAUGCACAAAAAAAGCAAGUACCUUCCCUGAAACUAGCUUGCUUGAGAGAUACACAAAACAACUGGGUGUUUACACUACUCCAGGUCUCUGCAUCAUUGCUUGAUCUAAACCAGCCCUUGGGUAAGAAGAGGAGUGCUUUUGUGAUAAGAGGAGUUUUACAGUUUCCAACUUCUGUGAAGCACAUUCUGAUUUUACAGAAUAAUCUACAAUGAGUGUUUUAACUAAGCAUACUUCAAAACAGGAAUCCUCCAUAUGAGUCUGAGCCUCUCUGAAUCAGUCAGGGCAUUAGGAUACAAGCCAUCAGCAUCCG